CCUCCGUCAUAUGGGAACUGCAGCAAGAAAAUUCAGUCUUGGUAUUAUCACCCAAACACGAGGAACUGCAGGAUGUUCACCUAUACAGGUUGUGGUGGAAACGACAACCGUUUCACUUCAGAGACGUCGUGCCAAUGGUAUUGCCUACCAUCAAACAAACUGAAAAAAGCUGUUUGCAGCCGACACAGACACGCGGAAAAGUGCAAUGGCCGAACGGAGCGAUGGUACUUUGACAGCAUGAACAACACCUGCCAUGAAUUUAAAGACGGGUAUUGUGGGCUUGUCCCGAAUAGGUUCCGUAGCUGUGAGGAGUGCUUCACGAGAUGCAGCGAUGCUGAUCCAAACGUUAUAUGCGCUGCUCCUACUAACACAAGAAAUGCAUAGUAAGCAGCUACUUCUUACCGAUGUUCCAGGACACUUUCCCAGUGCCUUAUUCGAAGAGCAUCAUCACUUUCAGCCAAAACU